rnacentral:rRNA from 1 species
AUUGAACGCUGGCGGCAGGCCUAACACAUGCAAGUCGAGCGGAUGACGGGAGCUUGCUCCUUGAUUCAGCGGCGGACGGGUGAGUAAUGCCUAGGAAUCUGCCUGGUAGUGGGGGACAACGUUUCGAAAGGAACGCUAAUACCGCAUACGUCCUACGGGAGAAAGCAGGGGACCUUCGGGCCUUGCGCUAUCAGAUGAGCCUAGGUCGGAUUAGCUAGUAGGUGAGGUAAUGGCUCACCUAGGCGACGAUCCGUAACUGGUCUGAGAGGAUGAUCAGUCACACUGGAACUGAGACGCGGUCCAGACUCCUACGGGAGGCAGCAGUGGGGAAUAUUGGACAAUGGGCGAAAGCCUGAUCCAGCCAUGCCGCGUGUGUGAAGAAGGUCCUCGGAUUGUAAAGCACUUUAAGUUGGGAGGAAGGGCAGUAAGCGAAUACCUUGCUGUUUUGACGUUACCGACAGAAUAAGCACCGGCUAACUCUGUGCCAGCAGCCGCCGUAAAAC